GAUGAACGCUGGCGGCGUGCCUAAUACAUGCAAGUCGAGCGAACAGACGAGGAGCUUGCUCCUCUGACGUUAGCGGCGGACGGGUGAGUAACACGUGGAUAACCUACCUAUAAGACUGGGAUAACUUCGGGAAACCGGAGCUAAUACCGGAUAAUAUAUUGAACCGCAUGGUUCAAUAGUGAAAGACGGUUUUGCUGUCACUUAUAGAUGGAUCCGCGCCGCAUUAGCUAGUUGGUAAGGUAACGGCUUACCAAGGCAACGAUGCGUAGCCGACCUGAGAGGGUGAUCGGCCACACUGGAACUGAGACACGGUCCAGACUCCUACGGGAGGCAGCAGUAGGGAAUCUUCCGCAAUGGGCGAAAGCCUGAAGGAGCAAAGCCGCGUGAGUGAUGAAGGUCUUCGGAUCGUAAAACUCUGUUAUUAGGGAAGAACAAAUGUGUAAGUAACUAUGCACGUCUUGACGGUACCUAAUCAGAAAGCCACGGCUAACUACGUG
rnacentral:rRNA from 1 species